UAGGGAAUCUUCGGCAAUGGGGCAACCUGACCGAGCAACGCCGCGUGAGUGAAGAAGGUUUUCGGAUCGUAAAGCUCUGUUGUAAGAGAAGAACUGUGAGAAGAGUGGAAAGUUUCUCACUUGACGGUAUCUUACCAGAAAGGGACGGCUAACUACGUGCCAGCAGCCGCGGUAAUACGUAGGUCCCGAGCGUUGUCCGGAUUUAUUGGGCGUAAAGCGAGCGCAGGCGGUUUUGAUAAGUCUGAAGUAAAAGGCUGUGGCAUUAACCAUAGUACGCUUUGGAAACUGUCAAACUUGAGUGCAGAAGGGGAGAGUGGAAUUCCAUGUGUAGCGGUGAAAUGCGUAGAUAUAUGGAGGAACACCGGUGGCGAAAGCGGCUCUCUGGUCUGUAACUGACGCUGAGGCUCGAAAGCGUGGGG
rnacentral:rRNA from 1 species